GUGAAUCAUCGAAUUUUUGAACGCAAAUUGCACUCUCUUCGGUGAGUAUGCCUGUUUCAGGGUCAGUAUUAAUAAAAAUCGGAGUGUUGCUUCUUUGUGACGCUCCGGCGUUUGGGUCAUCUUAAUAUCCUUUAGUUUUUAAGUGUCUUAACAUUGACUUUUUUUGCGCAUUUUAGAUGUACAUAAAUUCUUUUUUUUAUUCGUCUGUCUUAAUGCUCCAACUCCUAUUAGCUUCGACCAUAUCGUUUGGUCUCGUGUCUAUAAAUUUUUCAUGAUU
rnacentral:misc_RNA from 1 species